UUUUCUUAGUAGCGGCGAGCGAAAAGAAAACAGUUCAGCACUAAGUCACUUUGUCUUUAUGGCAAAUGUGAGAUGCAGUGUAUGGAACGUCUUCAAUCUAGUAUGAGAAAUUAACGAUUUAAGUCCUUCUUAAAUGAGGCCAAUUACCCAUAGAGGGUGCCAGGCCCGUAUAACGUUAAUGAUUACUAGAAGACGAUUCCGAAGAGUCGUGUUGCUUGAUAGUGCAGCACUAAGUUGGUGGUAAACUCCAUCUAAAACUAAAUAUAACUAUGAGACCGAUAGUAAACAAGUACCGUGAGGGAAAGUUGAAAAGAACUCUGAAUAGAGAGUUAAAUAGUACGUGAAACUGCUUAGAGGUUAAGCCCGAUGAACCUGAAUAUCCGUUAUGGAAAAUUCAUCAUUAGAAUUGUAAUAUUCUUAAAAAAUAUUAUAAUGAUAGUGUGCAUUUUUUCCAUAUAAGGACAUUGUAAUCUAUUGACAUAAUAAAAUAUUUAUCAAAAAUUCAUGAAUUUUAAAGUUUAUUCAAAUUAUUUUGCUUGCAUUUUAACAUAGAAUAAAUGUUCUUGAUUUGAUAAAGUGUUGAUAGAUAUAUUAUAUAUACAGUGCUUUAAUUUUUCGGAAUUAUAUAAUGGCAUGGUUAUUAUUAAUUAUGUUUAUUAUAUGCAUGUGUAUGAUUAACAAUGCGAAAGAUUCAGGAUACCCUCGGGACCCGUCUUGAAACACGGACCAAGGAGUCUAACAUAUAUGCGAGUCAUUGGGUUUUUAUAAACCUAAUGGCGUAAUUAACUUAACUUAAUAAUAAUGGGAUUAGUUUUUAAACUAUUUAUAGAUUUAUUAACACAAUCCCGGGGCGUUCUAUAUAGUUAUGUAUAAUAAUAUUUAUAUUAUUU
rnacentral:rRNA from 1 species